ensembl:misc_RNA Metazoa_SRP Metazoan signal recognition particle RNA
GCCGGGCAUGGUGGUGCGCACCUGUAGUCCCAGCUACUUGGGAGGCUGAGGCAGAAGGAUUGCUUGAGCCCAGGGGUUCAAGGCUGCAGUGAGCUAUGGUUGCUCCACUGCACUCUAGCCUGGGCCACAAAGGAAGACCCUGUCUCAA